AUUGAACGCUGGCGGCAGGCCUAACACAUGCAAGUCGAACGGUAACAGGAAGACGCUUGCUUCUUUGCUGACGAGUGGCGGACGGGUGAGUAAUGUCUGGGAAACUGCCUGAUGGAGGGGGAUAACUACUGGAAACGGUAGCUAAUACCGCAUAACGUCGCAAGACCAAAGAGGGGGACCUUCGGGCCUCUUGCCAUCGGAUGUGCCCAGAUGGGAUUAGCUAGUAGGUGGGGUAACGGCUCACCUAGGCGACGAUCCCUAGCUGGUCUGAGAGGAUGACCAGCCACACUGGAACUGAGACACGGUCCAGACCCCUACGGGAGGCAGCAGUGGGGAAUAUUGCACAAUGGGCGCAAGCCUGAUGCAGCCAUGCCGCGUGUAUGAAGAAGGCCUUCGGGUUGUAAAGUACUUUCAGCGGGGAGGAAGGGAGUAAAGUUAAUACCUUUGCUCAUUGACGUUACCCGCAGAAGGAGCACCGGCUAACUCCGUG
rnacentral:rRNA from 1 species